UGUAAAGGGACCCUGGCGUGCAUAUUUACAUCCUUGAUCGUAGUAGCAGGAGUUUUGACAGCCGUUGGUUGUUGCGUUAUCCCCUGUGUAAAAGGACUAGUACAGCGGUUAAUUGAAACUGCACUAUUGAAACAAAUGACCAUGGAGCCACCACCUUACUCAGAUAAGGUGAUGAUAUUAGAGGAGAUGGAAAGCAAAGAAGGUGAAGAAGAGGAAGAUAUCUACCAAAUUACACCUUAGAGAAAAGUUUUGCAAAAAUCAACAAUUU